rnacentral:rRNA from 1 species
UACGUAGGGUGCAAGCGUUAAUCGGAAUUACUGGGCGUAAAGCGUGCGCAGGCGGUGAUGUAAGACAGAUGUGAAAUCCCCGGGCUCAACCUGGGAACUGCAUUUGUGACUGCAUCGCUGGAGUGCGGCAGAGGGGGAUGGAAUUCCGCGUGUAGCAGUGAAAUGCGUAGAUAUGCGGAGGAACACCGAUGGCGAAGGCAAUCCCCUGGGCCUGUACUGACGCUCACGCACGAAAGCGUGGGGAGCAAACAGG